rnacentral:sRNA from 1 species
ACUCAACAUUAGUUCUUUAAGAAGGGUGAGUUGAAGAUGUAAAAGCGUGCCGUCUUAGAACGGAUACUUGAUCGUCUUGUUAGCCCUAAACUUGUUAAAAGGAGUUU